rnacentral:rRNA from 1 species
UUCCGAUCUAAAGAGCGCAGGGUGGAUGCCUUGGCACUAAGAGCCGAUGAAAGACGUGAUAAGCUGCGAAAAGCUACGGGGAGGAGCAAAUAUCCUUUGAUCCGUAGAUGUCUGAAUGGGGAAACCCACAUGAGCACACCUCAUGUAUCCAUACGCCAAUCCAUAACGUAUGGAGGGGAACCCGGUGAACUGAAACAUCUAAGUAGCCGGAGGAAGAGAAAGAAACAUCGAUUUCCAAAGUAGCGGCGAGCGAAAUGGAAAGAGGCCAAACCGGAAUGCGUGCAUUCCGGGGUUCGGACCGCAUAAUUGAUUCGUCAAUCCUAGCAGAAAGGUUUUGGGAAAGCCUGCCAGAGAGGGUGAAAGCCCCGUAAGCGAAAGGAAAGAUGACAUGGCGGUAUCCAGAGUACAUCGAGACACGAGAAACCUUGAUGGAAUGAGCGGGGACCACCCCGUAAGCCUAAAUACUCCUUAGUGACCGAUAGCGCAUAGUACUGUGAAGGAAAGGUGAAAAGGACCCCGGGAGGGGAGUGAAAGAGAACCUGAAACCCUGUGUUUACAAGCUGUGGAAGUGCUUUAUAUGCACAACCGCGUACUUUUUGUAGAACGGUCCGGCGAGUUACGGGUACCGGCAAGGUUAAGCACUUAAGGUGUGGAGCCGAAGGGAAACCAAGUCUGAAUAGGGCGUCAAGUCAGUAUCCGUAGACCCGAAACCGGGUGAUCUACCCAUGUCCAGGUUGAAGUUGCCGUAAAAGGCAAUGGAGGACCGAACGCACAUCCGUUGAAAAGGGUGGCGAUGAGGUGUGGGUAGGGGAGAAAUUCCAAUCGAACCCGGAGAUAGCUGGUUCUCCUCGAAAUAGCUUUAGGGCUAGCCUCAUUUUAGUCUUAUGGAGGUAGAGCACUGAAUUUCCGCGGGGGCGUCAAAGCUUACCAAAGAAUAUCAAACUCCGAAUGCCAUGUAGAUGAUGAAUGGGAGUCAGACUGCACGAGAUAAGUUGGGCAGUCAAAAGGGAAAGAGCCCAGACCACCAGCUAAGGUCCCAAAGUGUGUGUUAAGUGGAAAAGGAUGUGGGAUUUCAAAGACAACUAGGAUGUUGGCUCAGAAGCAGCCACACAUUCAAAGAGUGCGUAACAGCUCACUAGUCGAGAGGUCCUGCGCCGAAAAUGUCCGGGGCUAAAACACAACACCGAAGCUGUGGAAUCACGUAGUGAUUGGUAGAGGAGCAUUCUUAAGACCGACGAAGCUGUACCGGAAGGAGCAGUGGAGGGAUAAGAAGAGAGAAUGCCGGAAUGAGUAGCGAGAGAGAGGUGAGAAUCCUCUCGGCCGAAUAUCCAAGGUUUCCAGAGUAAAGCUGAUCUGCUCUGGGUAAGUCGGGGCCUAAGGAGAGGUCGAAAGACGUAUCCGAUGGACAACAGGUUUAGAUUCCUGUACCACAUAUGAACAGAACUGUGGGGACGCAUGUGGAGAGCACGAGCCGGGAAUGGAAAUACCGGUACAAGCGGAGAAGGAGUCUGGUUGGCAAAUCCGCCAGACAAUCCGAAGACGUGAUGUGGAGCGAAUUAGAGUAGCGAAGCGUGUGAGCCAUGUGCCGAGAAAAGCCGCUAUUGUUUCAUGUGUGCCCGUACCGUAAACCGACACAGGUGGAUGAGGAGAGAAUCCUAAGGCCGGCGGAAGAAGCAUUGUUAAGGAACUCGGCAAAAUGACCCCGUAACUUCGGGAGAAGGGGUGCCUGCGAGAGCAGGCCGCAGAGAAUAGGCUCAAGCAACUGUUUAGCAAAAACACAGGUCUAUGCGAAACCGAAAGGUGAAGUAUAUGGGCUGACGCCUGCCCGGUGCUGGAAGGUUAAGAGGAGAGGUUAGCGUAAGCGAAGCUUUGAAUUUAAGCCCCAGUAAACGGCGGCCGUAACAAUAACGGUCCUAAGGUAGCGAAAUUCCUUGUCGGGUAAGUUCCGACCCGCACGAA